rnacentral:rRNA from 1 species
UACGAAGGGGGCUAGCGUUGCUCGGAAUCACUGGGCGUAAAGCGCACGUAGGCGGACUCUUAAGUCCCGUGUGAAAUCCCUCGGCUCAACUGAGGAACUGCACGGGAAACUGACGGGCUUGAGUUCGGGAGAGGGAAGCGGAAUUCCGGGUGUAGCGGUGAAAUGCGUAGAUAUCCGGAGGAACACCGGUGGCGAAGGCGGCUUCCUGGACCGACACUGACGCUGAGGCGCGAAAGCUAGGGGAGCAAACGGG